rnacentral:lncRNA from 1 species
AACGGUGCUCGUGUGCAGGAGCCGCAGCCCCUACAAAUCUCAUUAUGAAACUCACAAUAAUUGAGGGGCUAAAAAUAAUUUUUGCUCAGAUUGCACUUUGAAUGUGCUUGAUGUUUUUUUAUUAUUUCUUUUUAGUCAAUCCUAAUGUAGUUAGUCCUCAGUAAACUCAGCUCUACCCUCCCGCCCUUCGGUGCUUAUUUUUGUCUCUCCUGGUGCAUCGCAUAAGCAUGGCGUAAUUUCCAGCAUACAGUUAUUAGUAUUUAUUCUUUUUUUUUCACAGCAGAGCACCUUAGGAGCCACAAUGACUUCUGGAUACGAUGAAAUGCAAGGUGAAAGGAUUACUGUUUCUUAGCUCUACAAAGCAUGGUUGGGACCACUCAGAAAAUGUUCUUCUGCAAAUAAACGCAGUGGUGUGAUGGAGAUGGUUCUGUUAGUGCAUCGCCCCUGGAUGGCCUGGCAAAACAAGGUACAAUAAAAAUUCUGGCAGUUGUGAGUGAGAUUAUUGAAUUGCAGGCUCUGGACUGUCCAGGAUAGACUGCUGGGACACAGCCAUGGAAACUCGAACAUUUGAAGACAGAGUUAUGAAGUGGGACUAACGCAAGGGCAUUCCCUUUCCUCCCAAAAUUUAAGGGGCUGGUGGGGUGGCUGCCAAGAUGCAGGUGACGAGAUGCUUGGUUGGCCUCUAGUUUCAGCUCAAGGGAGAGGAAGGAGUUG